UUGAGAUCUUUAAUUGUGGACGUUAUUCCCACACAAGCCACUCUUAGGUCUAAAUCUUCUAUUUUCUACCUCCCAAUCCUACCCAUUCACUCUUAUCACAGCCCUUGGUGGUUAAAUGCUCCCAGGCCUGGGAAGGUCUCUGUCUUUCCCAGAUUUGACUCCACUCUUGCUCCAUUGAAUCUUCUCCUUGUGCAGGAGAUGUUGCUCAAACACACAAGACCCUGAAUUUCUCCCUUUCCUAAACAUGGGCUGAAACAUCAUUAGAUUUGGGGGUUUCAUUUAAUUCCUAUCAGCAGCACUUUUUCUAUGCCUUUAGUUUUGCCCAGCCUGGUGCCGAUGGUUGUUUUCGUGCUCACCCAGACUGCCCUUCCACUCCAGCAUCCAUAGUUACCUCUGCUGGUUCCGACGCAAGUUGCUCCUCCAGCUGAGGUGGGAUGCAAGCAAGAACUUGGACACUUCCAAGUCAGGAAUUGGAAACCCAGAGGCAGAUGCAACAUGGGCAGCACAAGCGUCCUCAAACUGCCCUGCCAACGUGCUUCAAUUCUGAAUGAGGAGGACCAGCUUUCCGGGUGAGAACGAAGGCUGUCUCUAUUCAGCCCCCGACCCCUCUGCUCAAGGCUCUUAAUGAAGGGGCCUCAUUAACACCAAAGAUAAAUCACUCCGCCUUGAAAAGUUUCCAGCCUGCGAGCCAAGCCCUGCAAUGUAAAUCUGUAACAGCAGGAGGCAACUCGGCACAGCAGAACAGGGACCCAAAAAGCCUGUGGACCCUGGAGUGAUGUUACCUUGUUCUGGCUGCAUUGCAGGGAGGAAACCACAGCCACUCUGCCAGCCACUUCAGAGGACCCAGCCCCAUGACAUGUCAUGCAGCAAGGCCUGGAGAGCAAGAGUGUGUCUCUGCCACCAGCCUUUCAGCAAGCAGAGGAGGCUCCAGGUUGCACAUGGCCAUUGGAGCAGAGCUGGGUGGGAAGUGGCAGGACUGAGGUGAUGGCCUGUAGUGUGAUGUGCAAAGCCAUCUGGCCUGGAGGGGG